GUAGGUGGCAAGCGUUGUCCGGGAAUUAUUGGGGCGUAAAGCGCGCGCAGGUGGUUCUUUAAGUCUGAUGUGAAAGCCCCCGGGCUCAACCGGGGGAGGGUCAUUGGAAACUGGGGAACUUGAGUGCAGGAGAGGAAAGUGGAAUUCCACGUGUAGCGGUGAAAUGCGUAGAUAUGUGGAGGAACACCAGUGGCGAAGGCGACUUUCUGGCCUGUAACUGACACUGAGGCGCGAAAGCGUGGGGAGCAAACAGGAUUAGAUACCCUGGUAGUCCACGCCGUAAACGAUGAGUGCUAAGUGUUGGGGGGUUUCCGCCCCUCAGUGCUGCAGCUAACGCAUUAAGCACUCCGCCUGGGGUGUACGGUCGCAAAGACUGA
rnacentral:rRNA from 1 species